rnacentral:rRNA from 1 species
AGUGAACGCUGGCGGUAGGCCUAACACAUGCAAGUCGAACGGCAGCACAGUAAGAGCUUGCUCUUACGGGUGGCGAGUGGCGGACGGGUGAGGAAUACAUCGGAAUCUACUUUUUCGUGGGGGAUAACGUAGGGAAACUUACGCUAAUACCGCAUACGACCUACGGGUGAAAGCAGGGGAUCUUCGGACCUUGCGCGAUUGAAUGAGCCGAUGUCGGAUUAGCUAGUUGGCGGGGUAAAGGCCCACCAAGGUGACGAUCCGUAGCUGGUCUGAGAGGAUGAUCAGCCACACUGGAACUGAGACACGGUCCAGACUCCUACGGGAGGCAGCAGUGGGGAGUAUUGGACAAUGGGCGCAAGCCUGAUCCAGCCAUACCGCGUGGGUGAAGAAGGCCUUCGGGUUGUAAAGCCCUUUUGUUGGGAAAGAAAAGCAGCAGGUUAAUACCCCACUGUUCUGACGGUACCCAAAGAAUAAGCACCGGCUAACUUCGUG